GCCAGCCCCGGCAUGGAGAAGCGGGCGGCCUCGGGGCCGGAGGCGGCGCCGGGCGCCCGGGCGCAGCUCGCCGUCGUCUGCUUGGUGAACAUCUUUCUCACUGGGAGGCUCAGCAACGCGGUUCCUGCCUUAGCUGCCUGCAGCGGGAAGCUGGAGCAGCACACGGAGCGGCGCGGAGUCAUCUAUAGCCCGGCCUGGCCCCUCAACUACCCGCCGGGCACCAACUGCAGCUGGUACAUCCAGGGCGACCGUGGGGACAUGAUCACCAUCAGCUUCCGCAACUUUGACGUGGAGGAGUCCCACCAGUGCUCCCUGGACUGGCUCCUGCUGGGCCCCGCAGCUCCUCCGCGGCAGGAGGCCUUCCGCCUGUGCGGCUCCGCCAUCCCGCCCGCCUUCAUCUCCGCCCGCGACCACGUCUGGAUCUUCUUCCACUCCGACGCCUCCAGCUCGGGCCAGGCCCAGGGCUUCCGUCUCUCCUACAUCCGAGGUGACGCUGGCCGCAGGGUGGGGUGGGGACGGCCGUGGAGCCCUCAGUGCUCGUGCGUGGGCCCCUGGCUCCCUGUGGGGCCUGCCCUGCCCCGCUGUCAGUCUUGGGACGGUGGUGGCACUGGUCCUGCCGCCGUCCCGGAUGCUCUGAGCCUCUCGAGGUCACUGGCCCCACUUCACAGGCUUGACUGGGAAGGACUCUCCCCGACCCUGGGCUUGGAAACUGAGCCCACCCUGGUGUUUGAGGGGUCUCUGCCCCUCAGGCGGCCAUGGAGAGGCAGGGGCCCUUCUUGGUCCUGCCACUUCCUGUCCCCGCAGAGGCACAGCUGGGAAGGGGAACCAGCUGCUGCUCCUGGCCCCAGGUCCCUGCGCUGGAGGGAGGUUCCGCUCUCCCCUCACUGUCUCCUGAUGCCCCUUUGCCCCCCAGGGAAGCUGGGCCAGGCGUCCUGCCAGGCAGACGAGUUCCGCUGUGACAACGGUAAGUGCCUGCCGGGCCCGUGGCAGUGCAACACCGUGGACGAGUGCGGGGACGGCUCUGACGAGGGCAACUGCUCGGCACCAGCCUCCGAGCCGCCGGGCAGUCUGUGCCCCGGGGGCACCUUCCCGUGUAGCGGGGCGCGCUCCACACGCUGCCUGCCCGUGGAGCGGCGCUGCGACGGCACGCAGGAUUGCGGCGACGGCUCCGACGAGGCCGGCUGCCCUGACCUGGCGUGCGGGCGGCGGCUGGGCAGCUUCUACGGCUCCUUCGCCUCCCCGGACCUGUUUGGCGCGGCCCGCGGGCCCUCGGACCUUCACUGCACGUGGCUGGUGGACACGCAGGACCCACGGCGCGUCCUGCUGCAGCUGGAGCUGCGUCUGGGCUACGACGACUACGUGCAGGUGUACGAGGGCCUGGGCGAGCGCGGAGACCGGCUCCUGCAGACGCUGUCCUACCGCAGCAACCACCGGCCCGUGAGCCUCGAGGCCGCCCAGGGCCGCCUCACCGUGGCCUACCACGCCCGCGCCCGCAGCGCCGGCCACGGCUUCAACGCCACCUACCAGGUGAAGGGCUACUGCCUGCCCUGGGAGCAGCCGUGUGGCAACAGCGCCGAGGGGGACGGGGAUGGCUCCGGGGACCAGGGCUGCUUCUCGGAGCCACAGCGCUGCGACGGCUGGUGGCACUGCCCCAGCGGCCGGGACGAGCAGGGCUGCCCCGCCUGCCCGCCCGACCAGUACCCCUGCGAGGGCGGCAGCGGCCUGUGCUACACACCCGCCGACCGCUGCAACAACCAGAAAAGCUGCCCCGACGGCGCCGACGAGAAGAACUGCUUCUCCUGCCAGCCCGGAACCUUCCACUGCGGCACCAACCUGUGCAUCUUUGAGACGUGGCGCUGCGACGGCCAGGAGGACUGCCAGGACGGCAGCGACGAGCACGGCUGCCUGGCCGCCGUGCCCCGCAAGGUCAUCACCGCGGCGCUCAUCGGCAGCCUGGUGUGCGGCCUGCUGCUCGUCAUCGCGCUGGGCUGCGCCUUCAAGCUCUACUCGCUGCGCACGCAGGAGUACAGGGCCUUCGAGACCCAGAUGACGCGCCUGGAAGCUGAGUUUGUGCGGCGGGAGGCGCCCCCAUCCUAUGGUCAGCUCAUCGCCCAGGGCCUCAUUCCCCCCGUGGAAGACUUUCCCGUCUAUAGCGCGUCCCAGCCGCCGCCCCGCCCUGCAGGCCUCGGUGCUACAGAACCUGCGCACGGCCAUGCGGCGACAGAUGCGCCGGCAUGCUUCCCGCAGGGGGCCCUCCCGCCGCCGCCUGGGUCGCCUCUGGAACCGCCUCUUUCACCGGCCACGGGCGCCCCGAGGCCAGAUCCCGCUGCUGACCGCUGCGAGAACCUCACAGACAGUGCUGGGCGACGGGCUCCUGCAGCCCGCACCAGGGGCGGCUCCGGACCCCCCAGCACCCCGUACGGACACAGGCAGCCCCCGGGCAGCUGGGGACGGACCCUCUAGUGCCCCCGGCCACGCAUCCGAGGGUGAGACUGGGCUCUGAAGCGCUGACAUUCACCCUGCAGUGACUCGUGGGAAGACAGUCCCCACCGUGAACCCCGGGCUGUCCUGGGUGGCUGAGCUCCGGGUGCAUCACGGGCCUGGGUCAGCUAGCCGGGCAGCGCUAGGGCAGGAGGCCCAGCCCACAUCUUCAGGCUUCCUUACAACAGGCAUCUACGAGUCAGAUCUUUUUUUUUUUUUCCAGAAAAAAAAACUUUUUUUGCAAAAACACCUCCUCAAUAAACAACAUGUAAACAGAAACAGCUGCUUCCGUCUCCAGGAACGCCUCAUUGUGCCUUCAAGGGCUUGUCCGUGGCGGGCAGCGGGGAGGGCUGGCAGGGCCCACUUUCCUCCUCCUCGGGGGAGUCUUGGGGGUAGACCACGAAACACAGCUCCUGGCCCCAGCGUGUCAUGGACUCUGAGGACAGACAGAUGGGUCUUGGGGCCUGGCCCCUGGGGACAGAGGCUACCCCACCUCCGCACACCUCCCCUGGGCAGGGGUCUUCAGGGAGCUGCUCCCUCUGUGAAGAACACCCCCAGGAAGAAAAUGGGCACCCCUGUGAGGAUGAUGAUGAUGCCGACCCCACAGACCAUGGGCUCUGAG